rnacentral:rRNA from 1 species
AUGUAAAUAUUUGUGUGAAUUAGGAUUUAUUUAAAUAAUUUAUCUUUUUCUUUUAAUCUCAUUAAUUUAUUUUAUAAAUGCAAGUAAAUUUGUAUAUAGUAAUUUUAUUUUAAUAUUGGCUAAAUUUGUGCCAGCAGCCGCGGUUACACUAAUGAUAUUAAUAUAAUUUUAUUAAUUAUAAGUAUAAAAAUUAGUUUUAAAGGAUAAAUUUAUUAAGUGAAAUUUUAAAUUUAUUAUUAAAAUAAGAAUAUUUUGAAGCUAAUAAAUUUCAUUUAAAAACUAGGAUUAGAUACCCUAUUAUUUGAAACUUAAAUAAUAAUAAUUUAGGUAGUAUUAGUUAUGUUCUUGAAACUUAAAAAAUUUGGCGGUAUUUUAGUCUAUUCAGAGGAACCUGUUUUUUAAUCGAUAUUCCACGUUGUACCUUACUUAAUUUUGUUUAUCAGUUUAUAUACCGUUGUUUAUAGAAUAUUUUAUAAGAAUAAUAAUUUUCAAUAGUUUUUUAAAAAUUUAUAUCAGAUCAAGGUGUAAUUAAUAAUUAAGUAAAUAUGGGUUACAAUAAAUUUAUUUUGUCGGAUUUAAAUUUGAAAUAUUUAAUGAAGUUGGAUUUGAUAGUAAAAUUAUAUAGAUUAAUAAUUUGAUUAUAGCUCUAAAAUAUGCACAUAUCGCCCGUCGCUCUUUCUAUUAAAGAAAGAUAAGUCGUAACAUAGUAGAUGUA